rnacentral:rRNA from 1 species
AGUGAACGCUGGCGGCGUGCCUAAUACAUGCAAGUCGAACGGAGUGGCGCACGGGUGAGUAAUGUAUAGCUAAUCUGCCCUACACUAGAGGACAACAGUUGGAAACGACUGCUAAUACUCUAUAGUGUAGGAUGAGGCUAUAUUGUAUCAGCUAGUUGGUGAGGUAAUGGCUCACCAAGGCUAUGACGCAUAACUGGUCUGAGAGGAUGAUCAGUAACACGGAAACGGAGACACGGUCAAGACGACUACGGGAGGAAGCAGUAGGGAAUAUUGCUAAAUGGGGGAAACCAGGAAGCAGCAACGCGGCGUGGAGGAUGAAACUUUGCGGAGCGAAAACUCCUUUGGUUAGGGAAGCGGUACCUAACGAAUAAGCACCGGCUAACUCCGUGCCAGCAGCCGCGGUAAUAC